AGUGAACGCUGGCGGUAGGCCUAACACAUGCAAGUCGAACGGCAGCACAGUAAGAGCUUGCUCUUACGGGUGGCGAGUGGCGGACGGGUGAGGAAUACAUCGGAAUCUACUUUUUCGUGGGGGAUAACGUAGGGAAACUUACGCUAAUGCCGCAUACGACCUACGGGUGAAAGCAGGGGAUCUUCGGACCUUGCGCGAUUGAAUGAGCCGAUGUCGGAUUAGCUAGUUGGCGGGGUAAAGGCCCACCAAGGCGACGAUCCGUAGCUGGUCUGAGAGGAUGAUCAGCCACACUGGAACUGAGACACGGUCCAGACUCCUACGGGAGGCAGCAGUGGGGAAUAUUGGACAAUGGGCGCAAGCCUGAUCCAGCUAUACCGCGUGGGUGAAGAAGGCCUUCGGGUUGUAAAGCCCUUUUGUUGGGAAAGAAAAGCAGCAGGUUAAUACCCCGCUGUUCUGACGGUACCCAAAGAAUAAGCACCGGCUAACUUCGUG
rnacentral:rRNA from 1 species